rfam:Schizopora paradoxa strain KTC8140 unplaced genomic scaffold SCHPAscaffold_00037, whole genome shotgun sequence.
ACACUGGUGGUGAAACGGCUAUCAUGCUUGCCUUCCAAGCAAGCGGCAGGGGUUCGACUCCCCUCCAGUGUA